GAGUCUGUUAUAUUUGGACGGACAUUGUCGAGCGUACCGUCGUCGCAACAGGACGCGCACUAUAUUUAAAAUACGAAUCAUUAAAUACAUCGUAUUGUAAUUAUAUAUUAUUUUAAACUGUACUCACGCAGCUAACCGAAUUCACAUCCAACAUGUUUAACUUGGGAGGAGCGAUGAAAAAUAUUUCAGCUAAGGCUGAAGAAUUAGUAGAGGAAAAGAAACAUGCUGCAACUUCACUUCUUGAAAAACAAGUCAAAGAAACCGGUGAGUUCUUAUCUAACACGCUCAACGAAGCAGAAGGCAAAGCUGUGAGCGCCGCAGAAGAGGCGAAAAAGGCAGCUGUGGACGGUUUUGACCAGGAGGUCGAGAAACUUGCUGAUAGUGCCUUACAGGAGACUUCUAAACACAAUAUUGGUGGUGGUGGUUUAUUAGGUGGAAUUAAGAAUUCAAUUGGUCAUGUUGCUAGUAAAAUGGAGAGUAAUAUCGAGGGUUCGGUACACAAAUUAGAAGGCGCAGCAAGUGCGGUGACGCAUAAAUUAGACGAUUCGGUUGUCGGUAAGGUAGCGCAUUCGGUAGGGGAUAAAGCCCACCAAGUGACUGAUAAAGUCCACGAAGCGGCCGAUGGAGUGACCCACACUGUGCAGGGAGUCAAAAGUACGAUAAAGGGAGUAGCCAGUACGGUGAAAGGAGUCUCCAGUAUGAUUCAAGGCACUACUAAUGGAAUGGAGACACCCGCCGCACCGGCACCCGCCCCUGUUGCCGCCGCCCCGGAACAACAGUCGACCGUCGGCCAGGUAGCGUCCGAGGCCAAGACGCUGGUGGACAAGACAGCCGCCGAGCUGAAACCAGCCCUUGACCAAGCGGUGCAUGACAAGAUCAACCCGUUGGCGCAGGAUCUGGCCAAGAAGCUACAGCCGAUCACAGGCGACGUGUCGGCGCAAAUCAACACGGCGCUGGCUGAUGGCGUCAAGCAGUUGAACCCGAUUGUCGACCAAGUGUCGACGACGGCCAAAGGAUUCGUCGACGAUACCGCCAAACAGGUGAGCUCGGCGGUGGACGACAAGCUCAAGGAGGCUGACCAGUUGUUCAGCGAGAAGCGCGAAGCUCUCGGGGAACCGGCCAAGAGCAUGAUGUCUAAGGCCAAGGGAUUGUUCGGCUGUAAGUUAGGUUGCUGUACUAUCAUGUAGGAAAAAAAAUUCUCACACAAAACCCGUGUACGCACAGUCUACACACACUGUUGAUGUAUAUUGCCAUGAGAUGAACACAUUGGGAAUCCACGUUCGAUAGACAUUCACAAAUAAAUUGGGGUCAUUAUUAUUAUCUAUAUAUACCUUAAAUGUUAAUUUCUUUAAAAAAAUAUUAAUUUUAUAUUAUAAUACAUUUUAGAUACGUACCUAUAUAAAUUAUACUUUUAAUUAUACUAUAACUUUUUGUUCAUUUACUUAUUAUUAUGAAGUACAUACUUUUAACUACGAAACGAAAUAAUCACUGCGCAAUUGUGAUUACUUUGUUCACAUGAAUUAAAUAAUAAAUAAUAUUAUAAUGUUACAACGACAAUAUAAUAUGCAAUACAUUAUACAUCUA
rnacentral:misc_RNA from 1 species